rnacentral:misc_RNA from 1 species
UACGUAGGGGGCAAGCGUUGUCCGGAAUUACUGGGCGUAAAGCGCACGCAGGCGGUCUGUCAAGUCGGAUGUGAAAUCCCCGGGCUCAACCUGGGAACUGCAUCCGAAACUGGCAGGCUAGAGUCUUGUAGAGGGGGGUAGAAUUCCCGGUGUAGCGGUGGAAUGCGCAGAUAUCGGGAGGAACACCAGCGGCGAAGGCGGCUCUCUGGGCCUGACACUGACGCUGAGGUGCGAAAGCGUGGGUAGCAAACAGG